UACGUAGGAGGCAAGCGUUGUCCGGAGUUACUGGGCGUAAAGCGCACGCAGGCGGUUCAGUCAGUCUGUAGGGACAGGGCACAGCUCAACUGUGUCAGGCUUACGGAAACUGCUGAACUUGAGGGCUUCAGAGGGAUGGGGAAUUCCGGGUGGAGUGGUGAAAUGCGUAGAGAUCCGGAAGAACACCAAAGGCGAAGGCACCAUCCUGGGGAGUCACUGACGCUCGGGUGCGAAAGCUAGGGGAGCGAACGGGAUUAGAUACCCCGGUAGUCCUAGCCGUAAACGAUGACCAUUAGAUGUGCGGGGGAUCGACCCCCUGCGUGUCGAAGCAUACGCAUUAAAUGGUCCGCCUGGGGAGUACGGUCGCAAGAUUAAA
rnacentral:rRNA from 1 species